GGGCUUGUGGUCUAGUGGUAUGACAUCUUCUUAGCAUCAGCGGACUUCGGCCAGCUUGCGAGUGGAGAAGGUCCGGCGUUCAAUUCGCCGCUAGUCCA